rnacentral:rRNA from 1 species
AGCGAACGUUUGCGGCGGGCCUAACACAUGCAAGUCGAACGAGAAGCCCUUCGGGGUGGAAAGUGGCGCACGGGUGCGUAACACGUGGAUAACCAACCCUCUGGUUCGGGAUAACACCGGGAAACUGGUGCUAAUACCGAGUGAGUCCAAGAGUUCAUCAGGAUUCUUGGAGAAAGGCACGCAAGGGCUGCCAGAGGACGGGUCCGCGUCCCAUCAGCUAGUUGGUGAGGUAAUGGCUCACCAAGGCGAAGACGGGUAGCUGGUCUGAGAGGAUGAUCAGCCACACUGGAACUGAGACACGGUCCAGACUCCUACGGGAGGCAGCAGUGGGGAAUAUUGCGCAAUGGGCGAAAGCCUGACGCAGCCACGCCGCGUGAGCGAUGAAGGUCCUAGGAUCGUAAAGCUCUGUGGAGGGAGAAGAAUAAAGCCGGUGAAGAGCCGGCCCUGACGGUAUCCCUUUAGCAAGCACCGGCUAACUCCG